rnacentral:misc_RNA from 1 species
AACCCUCUCAUUAAAACAUUUUUAUUAAUGUCUUUUUAAUGGAUGUUGAGUGUUGCUGUUAUUAGCUCACUUUAAAUAUAUAAGUCACUUUUCAAUAAGUUGGAUUGACUUGGUGUAAUAAUUUUAUCAUCACAUCAAGGAAAGUAGCAAUACUGCCAUCUUGUUUUUGAAGGGAGACUCCUAAACACCCCCCUUUUAAACA